AGUGAACGCUGGCGGCGUGCCUAAUACAUGCAAGUCGAACGGAGUGGCGCCCGGGUGAGUAAUGUAUAGCUAAUCUGCUCUCCACUAGAGGACGACAGUUGGAAACGGCUGCUAAUACUCUAUAGUGUAGGUUGAGGCUAUAUUGUAUCAGUUAGUUGGUGAGGUCAUGGAUCACCAAGGCUAUGACGCAUAACUGGGCUGAUAGGAUGCUCAGUCACACGGGAAUGGAGACACGGGCCAGACUCCUACCGGAGGGAGCAGUAGGGAAUAUUGCUCAAUGGGGGAAAACCAGAAGCAGCAAAGGCGCGUGGAGGAUGACACUUUUCGGAGCGUAAACUCCUUUUGUUAGGGAAGCGGUACCUAACGAAUAAGCACCGGCUAACUCCGUGCCAGCAGCCGCGGUAAUAC
rnacentral:rRNA from 1 species